rnacentral:rRNA from 1 species
UGCCUACGGGUGGCUGCAGUAAGGAAUAUUGGUCAAUGGGCGCAAGCCUGAACCAGCCAUGCCGCGUGCAGGAUGACGGCCCUAUGGGUUGUAAACUGCUUUUGUACGGGAAAAAACCCUCCGACGUGUCGGAGGCUGAUGGUACCGUAAGAAUAAGGAUCGGCUAACUCCGUGCCAGCAGCCGCGGUAAUACGGAGGAUCCAAGCGUUAUCCGGAUUUAUUGGGUUUAAAGGGUGCGCAGGCGGAAUUAUAAGUCAGUGGUGAAAUCCUACAGCUUAACUGUAGAACUGCCAUUGAUACUGUUAUUCUUGAGUAUAGUUGAAGUGGGCGGAAUGUGUCAUGUAGCGGUGAAAUGCUUAGAUAUGACACAGAACACCAAUUGCGAAGGCAGCUCACUAAGCUAUAACUGACGCUCAUGCACGAAAGCGUGGGGAUCAAACAGGAUUAGAUACCCGAGUAGUC